UACGUAGGGGGCAAGCGUUGUCCGGAAUCAUUGGGCGUAAAGAGCGUGUAGGCGGCCCGAUAAGUCCGCUGUGAAAGUCCAGGGCUCAACCCUGGGAUGCCGGUGGAUACUGUCGGGCUCGAGUCCGGAAGAGGAGUGUGGAAUUCCUGGUGUAGCGGUGGAAUGCGCAGAUAUCAGGAGGAACACCGGUGGCGAAGGCGGGUCUCUGGGCCGAUACUGACGCUGAGAAGCGAAAGCGUGGGGAGCGAACAGG
rnacentral:rRNA from 1 species